UGAAUUAGGGUAUUUUUUUCCUCAUCGUUCUCCCGAUUGUUAGCAAGCGUUGCAGAAGCCAUUCAAUCCUUUUGAUUCAUACCCGGAUGCGUUACGCUAGAACAAAACAUAAACCUUAACAAAGGUUAUCAUCUUCCCAAGUUCUCCAUUUCUUUCUUGAGCAUAUUCUCUCCAGUCUCGAGAGUCGAGACUACCAGGUGAGUACUAUCUUAUAAUGUUUCUUUAGAUUUGAUUAGUUUCUUCAAUUGGAUUUCUGUUUCUUCCCUAUCUUCAUGACCAAAUUAAAUUAGUACUGUCUCUUAAUUUUUCUUUGAAUAUUCUUCAACCUGCCUACAUAUGGAUUCAUAUCUUUAUUUUUGUCUUUGCCUUUGUUGCCUAAAAUUAGGACUUUUCUUCCCUACUCGAUCAUUAACUUCUUUUUUUUCUUUUUUCUUUUGAUAGAAUACAAGAUCAUUAAGUGGGUAACUUGAUUUUGUGUUUAUGCCAAGACGUUACAAAAAUAAAAGAUACCCAUUAACAACACUAUUAUUUCUGCUUCCCUAACCUCAGAAAAGUUACCUUACAAUGGUUCUCAGUGCAUGCGUAUUUUUUUUGGUACUGUUGUAGGUUUUUGUUGGUUUAAAUUUUCUCUGAUUCUGAUUUUGCUGUUGCAUAUUUUGUGAGUGCAUGAUAUAUUUGGAGACAAACCAGUAUCAAUCUCAGGGUCAAUUGCAAUUCAACUUCGUUUAACCAUUGGCAUUACAACCUCCGUGGAGAAGACCCUUCAACUCUAUAAAAAGAAGAACAACUUUAUGUGCAAUCACAAAUGCUACUCUAUCCUCUACCUGGAAUUGCAAUUCACUGUUUUUUUUUUGGUCUAGCACGCGAAGCUCAAGCUAUGCUAAUUUUUUAACAUUCUAGGAUGAUUAGUGAGAGAAAGAGACAAAAAGUACAGAGCGGCUUACAAAUCCCAGAAAGAGUACGGAAGAUUUGAGACCAGGCACAAUAUAGUCUUGGAUGCAUGUUUUACGCAACAUGUUCUGAGGCUUACUUGCAAAUCUAUAUCAUCCCAAGCUUCCCCAAUGGGAUUGAUUAGCAGACUUAAUAGAGCUGUUAAUAGGGAUCCUUUUCGGUAACGUAUAAUCAAAUAAAAAUUGAUUAUCAGAAAUUAUGGUGCCGGUCAUGGGAGAAUUGAUUGUAUAGCAUAUGAAAAUUGAAGGGAGAAGCAGUCAAGGUGAAAGGUUUUCGCUGAUUUUAUUACUACAACAGAUGUGGUGGGUGUGCUAAUCAGUUGGAUAAAUUUACAGGAAAUGAAAGAGAGCCAAUGGUUAACCUUGCAUGAUGCGCGACCUUACUCUUCAGAAUCUUAGGUACAUUACCGAAUUAUUGUCAAAGCCAGUGCCACUCGAAUUUUGGCUACCACCAAGUGGUAAUAUUUGGGCUGCAACAAGUGCGCACCACUACAGUGGUAGGUGAAGUCGAGAACCAUGAAUGCACUAAAUGUGAAAACAAGGUCGAGGAACCUGUAACGCGGUACCUUCUUCGUUUCAAAGUGACAAACUAUAUCGGCAGGACCAUAUUUGCGUCGGUGGACAGUGAAGUCUGAUGGUUCAUCCACCCCACUGCCUUGGACAUAGUCAGGAGGAAGAGGAAAGUGAAAGGUGGUUGCAUCUUUUGAUAAGAUCCUCCUGAAUGUUGAGCUACCAAAUUGUGCUUGCAGUGUAUAACGUGAAAAAGCAAACCACCCCCAUGAAGCCCAACCUCCCUUCCAUCUACUACUGCACCUGCAUAUAACGUGACCUUGAUGCGGAUGAUUAAACACUAACUGCAAAGACCCGGUUGUCCCCUAAACGCCACCUCCACUUUGGUUUAUAUAGCGAUGAAGACUAGCUUUGUAAUUCCAUUCAAAAAAAUCAUACUUCUCUGCCAUACACACAGGGUCAAUGUUAAUCAAUAACGGGCACUACGGUAGGUGAUUAAAGUUAAGGAGGGAUGACUUUAACAAAAUAUCAAUAAAUGGUAGAAUCUGUCUUCGCAAGGUUGGUAACUCACCUCUUCAAGGUUAAUAACUUGGAUCGCAAUGUUGUGAAUUGGGUUAUACGAUUAUCUGGAUAUGAAAUUUAAGAAUUAUUGUUUUUGUUCUUUCAGUGGAUAACCAUAACAAUGAAACCAAGUGUUGUUGUCCAGGAAUGUUUGUCUAUGCCCGUCAACAUUCUGAAUCAUUACCGUGGGUAAUUUUAUAGUUCAAAAUUAUAAGAAACUUAUACUUGCAUUCUA